rnacentral:rRNA from 1 species
UACGGAGGAUGCGAGCGUUAUCCGGAUUUAUUGGGUUUAAAGGGUACGUAGGCGGGCUGUUAAGUCAGCGGUAAAAGCCCGGGGCUCAACCCCGGCGAGCCGUUGAAACUGGCUGUCUUGAGAUGUCGAGAGGUAUGCGGAAUGCGCAGUGUAGCGGUGAAAUGCUUAGAUAUUGCGCAGAACUCCGAUUGCGAAGGCAGCAUACCGGCGGCGAUCUGACGCUGAGGCACGAAAGCGUGGGUAUCGAACAGG